AGUGAACGCUGGCGGUAGGCCUAACACAUGCAAGUCGAACGGCAGCACAGUAAGAGCUUGCUCUUACGGGUGGCGAGUGGCGUACGGGUGAGGAAUACAUCGGAAUCUACUUUUUCGUGGGGGCUAACGUAGGUGAACUUACGCUAAUACCGCAUACGACCUACGGUUGAAAGCAGGGGAUCUUCGGACCUUGCGCGAUUGAAUGAGCCGAUGUCGGAUUAGUUAGUUGGCGGGGUAAAGGCCCACCAAGGCGACGAUCCGUAGCUGGUCUGAGAGGAUGAUCAGCCACACUGGAACUGAGACACGGUCCAGACUCCUAAGGGAGGCAGCAGUGGGGAAUAUUGGACAAUGGGCGCAAGCCUGAUCCAGCCAUACCGCGUGGGUGAAGAAGGCCUUCGGGUUGUAAAGCCCUUUUGUUGGGAAAGAAAAGCAGCAGGUUAAUACCCCGCUGUUCUGACGGUACCCAAAGAAUAAGCACCGGCUAACUUCGUG
rnacentral:rRNA from 1 species